AUGAACGCUGGCGGCGUGCCUAAUACAUGCAAGUCGAGCGAACGGACGAGAAGCUUGCUUCUCUGAUGUUAGCGGCGGACGGGUGGGUAACACGUGGAUAACCUACCUAUAAGACUGGGAUAACUUCGGGAAACCGGAGCUAAUACCGGAUAAUAUUUUGAACCGCAUGGUUCAAAAGUGAAAGACGGUCUUGCUGUCACUUAUAGAUGGAUCCGCGCUGCAUUAGCUAGUUGGUAAGGUAACGGCUUACCAAGGCAACGAUGCAUAGCCGACCUGAGAGGGUGAUCGGCCACACUGGAACUGAGACACGGUCCAGACUCCUACGGGAGGCAGCAGUAGGGAAUCUUCCGCAAUGGGCGAAAGCCUGACGGAGCAACGCCGCGUGAGUGAUGAAGGUCUUCGGGUCGUAAAACUCUGUUAUUAGGGAAGAACAUAUGUGUAAGUAACUGUGCACAUCUUGACGGUACCUAAUCAGAAAGCCACGGCUAACUACGUG
rnacentral:rRNA from 1 species